AAACUGAAGAGUUUGAUCCUGGCUCAGAUUGAACGCUGGCGGCAUGCCUUACACAUGCAAGUCGAACGGCAGCACGGGAGCUUGCUCCUGGUGGCGAGUGGCGAACGGGUGAGUAAUAUAUCGGAACGUACCCUAGAGUGGGGGAUAACGCAGCGAAAGUUGCGCUAAUACCGCAUACGAUCUACGGAUGAAAGUGGGGGAUCGCAAGACCUCAUGCUCAUGGAGCGGCCGAUAUCUGAUUAGCUAGUUGGUAGGGUAAAAGCCUACCAAGGCUUCGAUCAGUAGCUGGUCUGAGAGGACGACCAGCCACACUGGAACUGAGACACGGUCCAGACUCCUACGGGAGGCAGCAGUGGGGAAUUUUGGACAAUGGGCGCAAGCCUGAUCCAGCAAUGCCGCGUGAGUGAAGAAGGCCUUCGGGUUGUAAAGCUCUUUUGUCAGGGAAGAAACGGUGAGGGCUAAUAUCCUCCACUAAUGACGGUACCUGAAGAAUAAGCACCGGCUAACUACGUGCCAGCAGCCGCGGUAAUACGUAGGGUGCAAGCGUUAAUCGGAAUUACUGGGCGUAAAGCGUGCGCAGGCGGUUUUGUAAGUCUGAUGUGAAAUCCCCGGGCUCAACCUGGGAAUUGCAUUGGAGACUGCAAGGCUAGAAUCUGGCAGAGGGG
rnacentral:rRNA from 1 species